rnacentral:lncRNA from 1 species
CAGAAAUUGUGGCAGCUUUGUCUGCUUUAUUGACAUUAAUGGUACCAGAAAAACCCAUUGUAUGUGCCCAGCCAAGCCACUUCCUCUCUAUCAUGUCUCUGGACUUCUGACCCAGCACACUCACACCGGAAGUCUCAGGACUGCAUAACAAGCCAUAGUGAACAUCGAGUCCCCAGCUCAAGAUAUUUCUGGAGUUUGCCACUACACUGUAAUAUGUGCCAAGCAGAACCAGAAGCUUUUCGCAAAUAGUACAUCCCAUUUCUUCCUCCCACAGGAGCCCCUAAGCAACCCUUAGUUCAUGACCUGCUUGCUUUUCACUGAUCUCUUUCUGUCACCAUCAGAUUAGGUAACACUGCCUCUCAGCUAUAUGCUCUCUGACUCCCCAGAUGAGGUGCAGAACUUCUGCAUGCAGCCCAGGCUUGGUUAGUCUGUAUAUGCUGUUAUAACAAAAUACCUGAAACUGGGUAAUUUACAAACAAUAGGUAUAUAGAUCUGGAGGUUAGGAAGCCCAAGAUCAAGGCACCAGCAGUUGGGUGUCUAGUGAGGGCCAGGGAUCUGGCUCCAAGAUGCCACCUUGAAUGCUGUGUCUUCACAUGAUGGAAGGGAUAGAAGGGCAAAAGGGCCUAGCUGGUUACCUCCAGUCCUUUUAUGAUCACAUCCUGUUCAUGAGGGCUGUGCUCUCCUAAUUUAAUCAGCUUUUAAAGGCUAUACUUUUUAAUACUAUCAUAUUGGUGAUUAAGUUUUAACAUGUGAAUUUUAGGGGACACACUUAGACCAUAGCACCAGUAUAAUCCAAGAUCUAGAAAAAUAUGAUUAAAAGUGUCCUGGUUGGUCUAUACUAGGCUACCUAAAAAAAGAGGAGGGCCAGAGAGGCAGUCCUUAUUCUUAAGAACCAUUUGAAUAUGACAUCCAAGAACAUGAGAGAAACACCUGGGAACAUCUAAGGCUGCAUGUCCCCCGGAUAGGAAACCAAAUAUUUUGAGAAAGAGUAUCAAGGCAAGCAUAGUGACCCAUGUAGUACACUGGGGUUUCACCCAAGUGGUUUAGAGGCUUAAGCAGUGGCUUUGAAAUGUAGUUAUAUAUGUGCUAGCAUGUUUUUUUCCAAAUAUGCAUGCCUGGGCUUACCUAGAAAAGUAACCUGGAUCUCUGAUAGUGGAAGCAACCCAUGAAGAGUACUUUUAAUUCCAUUUUGCAGAGGAAGAAAUUGAACCAAAGGAAGAAUACAUAGUUUGACCAGGAUCGCACAGAGAGUAUUUCACAGAGGAGUCCAAUGCCCAGACUCUUUUGUAGUACUCUGUUGCCCCAAGGAAGUGUGUGCUGUUUGCUUUUAAGGAAGCUCUACUUUCCUUUUCUAAAACAGUUAUCAAAUCUGGUCACCUCUCUGCAUCUCUACUUCCAUUAUCCUGUCCUAGCCACCAUCCUUUCUUCUGUAUAAAUUAUUGUCAUUUUAAUUAAAGUCUUCGCAGGCUGAAGAUUAUUACUGACAAUAUUAAAAUUUUAUUAUUCUUGUGAAUGGCACUUUUUCUGUAAUAUUUUCUGAUUAGUUAUUGAUUGGUUAUUUAAAAGCAUUUCUUUUGGUAUAAUGUUUUAUCUUACUAAACCCUGCUAUCAAUCUAGUGCUUUCUAUUGAUUCAGUUAGACUAAGUAGACAAUAAUAUAUAUUUUUUCUAUCAAUUUUAACAUCUUAUUUCAUUUAAAAGAAUGUAUUGUAUUUGUUAAAACAAGGAUUAGCAACCGCUUUCAGUAAAGGGCCAGAUAGUACUAUUUUAGGUUUCUGAGACAUAUUGCCUCUGUGUCAACUACUCAACUUUGCCAUUAUAGUGCAAAAGUAGCCAUAGAUAAUAUGUUAAUAGAAGGCCAUGGCUGUGUUUAAACAGAACUACUUACAAAAACAGGAAGGGACCAGAUUUGGCCUACAAGAUGUAGUUUGGCAACCCAUGGACUAGAACCUCCAGAAAAGCAUUGAAUACUAUAGUGAUUCAGUAUAGUAUUCAAUCAGUAUUCGUUUGCAUCAUGAAUCAUUAUCUUGUUUCAGACUACAGUGGCCAUGCUCCAGUGUUUUCAUAUUAAGCAUGAUUUAUGUUUUGAUAAAAAGACUCAUUAUUACAGUAAGGAAUUUUCUUCUUUUCCUAGCUUACUAUUUUAUCUUCAUAAAACAUUAACAUUUUUAUAAGAUAUCGGUACAAUUUAUAAAGCCGAAUAAAAUGUUUUAUUAUUUUUACUUAAUGUGGUGAAUUUUAUCAAUAAUAUUCCAACAGUGAUUUACAUUUAUAUUUAUGAAGUAAAUCCAAUUUGGUCAAGGUACAUUGUACUUUCGGUAUACUGACACAUUUGGGUUGCUAAAUUUUUAAAGACAUUUGAUUCUGUAUUCCUAAGUGACAUGACUCUAUUUUCUUCCUUUUUUCCUCCUAGUCUUGUGGAGUUGUGGAAUUAUAUUUUACUAGACUCAACAAUUAAUUAAUACAUUUUCUCUCUUUUUUCAUCC